UGCUGAAGACGCUGGCACAGGA
rnacentral:misc_RNA from 1 species